UACGGGGGGGGCAAGCGUUGUUCGGAAUUACUGGGCGUAAAGGGCUCGUAGGCGGCCAACUAAGUCGGAUGUGAAAUCCCCAGGCUCAGCCUGGGAACUGCAUCCGAUACUGGAUGGCUUGAAUUCGGGAGAGGGAUGCAGAAUUCCAGGUGUAGCGGUGAAAUGCGUAGAUAUCUGGAGGAAUACCGGUGGCGAAGGCGGCAUCCUGGACCGACAUUGACGCUGAGGAGCGAAAGCCAGGGGAGCAAACGGG
rnacentral:rRNA from 1 species